rnacentral:rRNA from 1 species
AAUAGAUACCCCGGUAGUCCACGCCGUAAACGGUGGGCACUAGGUGUGGGCGACAUUCCACGUCGUCCGUGCCGCAGCUAACGCAUUAAGUGCCCCGCCUGGGGAGUACGGCCGCAAGGCUAAAACUCAAAGGAAUUGACGGGGGUCCGCACAAGCGGCGGAGCAUGUGGCUUAAUUCGACGCAACGCGAAGAACCUUACCAAGGCUUGACAUACACCGGAAACGUCCAGAGAUGGGCGCCCCCUUGUGGUCGGUGUACAGGUGGUGCAUGGCUGUCGUCAGCUCGUGUCGUGAGAUGUUGGGUUAAGUCCCGCAACGAGCGCAACCCUUGUCCCGUGUUGCCAGCAGGCCCUUGUGGUGCUGGGGACUCACGGGGAGACCGCCGGGGUCAACUCGGAGGAAGGUGGGGACGACGUCAAGGUCAUCAUGCCCCUUAUGUCUUGGGCUGCACACGCGCUACAAUGGCCGGUACAAUGAGCUGCGAUACCGCGAGGUGGAGCGAAUCUCAAAAAGCCGGUCUCAGUUCGGAUUGGGGUCUGCAACCG